UAGGUAGACUGGUGCUGUUCUUGACAGAAGAAAGUGAAUUGAAGAAAUGGAGGGUUCAGAAUGUGAGGACAAUAAAAAUGGAGCUCCGGCAGUUUACUGUGUCACCGGAGCCACUGGUUAUAUCGGGUCGUGGUUGGUGAAGACUCUCCUUGAAAGAGGCCACAGUGUUCAUGCCACAGUCCGCGAUCCUGACAAGUGUGUGCACCUAUUAUCAUCGUUGACCGGCACUGACCGGUUGAGACUAUACCGAGCUGAUUUGCGAGAAGAAGGAAGCUUUGAUGAGGCUGUUAAGGGCUGUGAUGGGGUUUUUCAUGUUGCAGCAUCAAUGCAAUUCAGUUUUCCUGAGGAAGAGAAAUGUGAGAGUUAUGUUCAGUCGAAUAUCAUCAACCCUGCAAUCAAAGGAACCUUAGACCUCCUUAAAUCCUGUCGAAAAUCAGGUACCGUGAACAGGGUUGUGCUCACCUCUUCAAUUAGUACUAUGACUGCCAAAGAUAGCAGUGGAAAUCCAAUCUCUGUAGUUGAUGAAUCUUGCAAAACUCCUGUUGAUCGUGUCUGGGAUGCAAAAGCAAGUGGAUGGGUUUAUGCCCUUUCAAAGAUCCUCACGGAAGAAGCAGCAUUCAGAUUUGCAAGUGAGAAUGGGAUUGAUCUUGUUUCAGUAAUAACAAGUACCGUUGGAGGACCAUUUCUCACUUCCACUGUCCCAUCAAGCAUUCGAGUUCUUUUGUCACCAUUAACAGGUGACUCUGAGCUCUAUGGGAUAUUAUCUGCUGUAAAUGCAAGAAUGGGAUCAAUUGCUUUAGUCCACAUUGAGGACAUAUGUGAUGCACACAUUUUUUUAAUGGAGCAUGAUGAAGCAGAAGGUAAAUACAUAUGUGCGGCGCAGAGUUGUCCAAUAUCUGAGUUGGUUCAUUAUCUGGCUCAGGCAUAUCCAUCCUCAAAUUUAAAAAGCGUUGUGUUAGAGGAAGAACAGAAUAAUCCAGUACCCUCUAAGAUAUGUUCAAAGAAGCUAAGAGAUAUGGGAUUUAGUUACAAGCAUGAUAUAGAAGAUAUUAUUCACCAGUCCGUUUCUUCUUGUAUGCAUUUUGGCCUUCUACCUCGUAUUGCAGAGUAACUCAUCAUGUCUCCCAUGUAUACAGUGUUAUUAUUGAAGGCUUGAAGGAAGCCGCAUUGGCCCUUAAUUACUUAAAAAGAAACAGGUAACUCUUCAUUAUAAUUAUUUGAAACAGGUAUCGUUUUCCUGGUCUAUUCAAACUUAUAUAUAUGUCAUCAUCAAUGAAGAGAUGAUUUUCAGUGCUUGGGAACCAUGUAUAUAAGUAUAUUUUGUAUCUGCAUUUCCUAUACAAUAUAAUGCUACAUCCUGACAUUGAGGUUUGCAAGACUGAUGUUUAUGCAAGCAUGGCGCCAUGCUGCCAUGGCGAUAUGAACUCUGUAGCGUGGGGGUCAACUAAUCUAGGAUUGCCAGCUUAUUGGUAAGCAGAGUCCAAGUAGAAGUACUGGUGAGCCAGCUGAGAUUCAUCAUUGCUAAGCAACUGGCACACUGAAGGAGGAGAAAGAAUAGUCCUUGUCAAGGAGUAAUGUUGAUUGCUAUAAAGACCUUAAGUUCUGUUCAUCUGCAACCAAGAUAGCUAGCUACCUUCACUAGUUCACUUCAAACAUAAAUACUCAAAAUUGAAUGUUGAUGGGCACAUCAUGAUUCCAGACAGGUGGUGUAAGCAGUAGGGAAACAAUUAUGAUCUGCAUGUGCCUCAGAGGAAGUUAGAUGCCCUUACAUGGGUGUACAGAUCAGUAAUUUAACCCUUAUAGUGCCCAUUGGAAGGUCCAUGCCC